GACUCUCGGCAACGGAUAUCUCGGCUCACGCAUCGAUGAAGAACGUAGCAAAAUGCGAUACUUGGUGUGAAUUGCAGAAUCCCGUGAACCAUCGAGUUUUUGAACGCAAGUUGCGCCCGAAGCCAUCCGGUUUAGGGCACGCCUGCCUGGGCGUCACGC
rnacentral:rRNA from 1 species